CUGACCUCUGCACCCUUUUGCUCCCCACCUGUCCCAAAAAAGUGGAGCUAUAACUGUGGGAAAAGGGGAUCUGAAGUCAGACACAGGAUCCACAGUAGCCUGGGGACCUUUCUCACCCCCGCCCUUAAGCAGGCCCCAACAUAACCGGCUGAGAAACCUCCUCUGCCAGAUCCUGACCUGAGCCAGGAGGCGGCCAGGAAACUGGAUUUUGGGACUGGGAUUUCAGAGAGGAAGCUGGAGAGCUGCAGGGUGGUCAUCUGUCACUUUAUUUUGCCCGUCUUGUAGCAUGUGGGUCUUUCGCAGCAGGAAGUGUGUUUUACAACCAGAGCCCCCGCCCUCCUGCAGCGCAGGCGCAGCUGGCUGGGCUCCUGCUUCCCACUCUCCACCUCAUCCAUAUUUGUCCUCGUCCCUGCCAGUCUCGAAAAGGCACUCUGUCACGUGUACACAGGAAAGGGCCCUGACAAGAGGAUGGGACUGCAGUUGUGGCUGCCAGGGCCCCGGCCAGGGUGAAAACAAGGAACAUUCCAGAGAAGAUCACAAGGAUGCGAAUAAAAUCGGAGCUGCACAGGGAUCUUUGGGCUGUUGGAGUGCAGUGGCACGAUCUCGGCUCAGUGCAACCUCCGCCUCCUGAGUUCAAGUGAUUCUCCUGCCUCAGCCUCCCUAGUAGCUGGGAUUACAGGACAAGGAGAGGGACAAAUUCCUUCUUGGCAUCCUUAUGGCCCUGUGACCUGCUAAUGAAUGCUGACUCUGAGUUGCUACUAGAAUUUGGUUUCCUUGUGGCUUCCCAGGAAUUGUGAGCCAUGUUGGAUAAGGACCUGCAAGGGAAGAAUGAGGAAGCCUGGGACAGUGCAGGAGGGGAGAGCACUGGUGGUAGAGAGGAGUGAUGACAAGGGUCUCCGCCAAAAGGGAAAUGGAGGGGUUAAAGAAGCUGCUGGGGAGGGUUAAAAACAAUGUGUUCUCACUCGUAGGUGGGAAUUGAACAAUGAGAACACUUGGACACAGGAAGGGGAACAUCACACACUGGGGCCUGUCGUGGGGUGUGGGGAGGGAGGAGGGAUAGCAUUAGGAGAUAUACCUAAUGUAAAUGAUGAGUUAAUGGGUGCAGCACACCAACAUGGCACAUGUAUACCUAUGUAACAAACCUGCACAUUGUGUACAUGUACCCUAGAACUUAAAGUAUAAUUAAAAAACAAAACAAAACAAAACAAAAACAAUGAGGUGCUAUUGUUUUAGUGGUGAGUAUCCGGAGACCUGGGAGUUCUAUUUACCAGGUAUAACCUGGGCUCAAAAUUCCAGGCUGACUUCAGGCAUGUCCUCAUCUCAUAGAUGCCAGCACUAAGGCCCAGAGAGGGCCGAGCUCAUUCAGCCCACCCAUCUUCUCACCCCUGACUGCAUUUCCCGGGGGUCCUUCUGCAGCCAGGUGCUGCUGUGGUACUUUGGGAUCUAUUGGCUGAGCUCCCAGAGAAGGGUCAUGGAUUGGGCUAGUUUGGAACAAGUGAAGGGACUGAAGAUGGGCUCAGUAUGGGGCGAAGACCUUCAGGAAGGGUCUGCAGAGUGAGUAGGGGGGUUUUGACUAGGAAAAGUUCCAACCCUGCCGGGGCCGCUGUCAAGAGAAAAGCAUCUAUUACAGUUACAUUUUUAAGUUAAGUAGACUGAAGAAUAUUUCUUGUGUAUUAAAGACGUUCCUUUUUGGUUGAUUUGCAAUGGAAAAGCUUUUGUUUUCUUUUUUUUUUUGGAAACAGGGUCUCACUCUGCUCACUCUGUCUCCCAAGCUGGAGUGCAGUGGUACAGUCACGGCUCACUGCAGCCUCCACUUCCUGGACUCAAGUGAUCUUCUCACUUCAGCCUUCUGAGUAGCUGGGACUACAGCCCCCUCUGCAGCUCUUCAUGGGGGUCCACUCAAGUCAGAAGCCACAUUUGGGUGUGAUUCAGAGAGCUGUUUAUGCAAAACCAGCUUUGUCACCAUCAGGCAAGGCACCUGAAUUCCCACCGCAGAGAGUGUUGUGGCCGUGAGGACUUUUCUGUCACCAGCCAUUUCCAGGUAGACCCAGUGUAAUCACAAGCAUCCUUGUAAGUGGCAAAGAGGCAGAGGAGACAGCGCCAGAGAGGCAGCUGCAUGAGAAGGAUCAAGAUGUUGCUGACUUUGAAGUUGGAAGAAGAAGGCCAUGAGCCUCAGUAUGUGGGCGGCUUCUAGAAGCUGGAAGGGGCAAGGAGAUGGAUUUGACCCUUCAGCCUCCAGGGGCAGCUGUACCUGCCAUCACUGAUUGUAGCCUGGUGAGGCCUGUUUUAGACUUCUGACCUGUAGAGCUGUAACAUAAUACAUUUGGGUUGUUUUCAACCACUAAGUUUGUGGUAAUUUGUUGUAGCAGCUGUAGAAAAUGAAUACAUAUGAAUCCUCUGGCAUUUGUUUGAGAUUUGCUCUAUGGCCUAGUAUGUGGUUGUAAAUGUUCCAUCUGUGCCUGAAAAAAUGUAUAUUUCUAAUUCAGUAGUCUCUGCUUUUUUUUUUUAUUUUGUACCCCAUCAAUAAAAUGAUUUUCAGCAUGUAUCCCCAAAUAAACAAUAUUUUAUUUAUUGAUUGAUUGAUAAACAGACAUGUUUAAUGAUAGCUUGCUUUUCACAGAGGUGACUUCGGAGACUUCUAAUCUAUAAUCCAGGAGUAUAUAACCAUGCAGCACAGACCAAUUAGUCACAUGUAAAAUAAACUAGAUUCUUACCAC
rnacentral:lncRNA from 1 species